rnacentral:pre_miRNA from 1 species
AGUGAGAUAGCUGGGCCAAAUAGUGAUUCCAUUCCAAGUUUUCUAAGGAAUAUCCAUACUGCUUUUCAGAGUGAUGGUACCAAUUUGCACUGCCAUCAGCAAU